CCUUCCUGGCCCUUGUUUGGUGGGACCGAAUGGGACAGGGUCAUUUGGAGACCUCGACCUCGAGAGGAUAUUUUAUGAAACAAAACCUAAGAUUACUGUACACAUAUUGACACUAUUCUCAGAGUAAGUGUAGGCCUACCGAUGUCAGUUCCCAGCCAUAAUGCAUACCAGUAACCUUAGCUUCAAAACAAUCAUCAAAGUUCUUGACUUUACAGGCAACCCAGAUUGCAAUCUAAAGAGAUCAGGGCUGGGGGUGUGACUCCCAGAGACCUUGCCUCCCUAUCCCUAGUACUACAAAAGACAGACGGACACAGAGAGGGCAUGUACUCUCAAUGACAGUGGAUGACGCACCUCACUUUACAUCCACUCAUGUACUCAGCUCUGAUUACUGAGCAGCUACUUACUAUGUGCUUCAGGCAUGGGUUAGAGUUCAGGAAUACACGGACCUUCCUUUGAGACAGGGUUCCUGCUUUGGAUGUCACUAUCUGAGCAGAGAGAGGCACAGAGAGGCCAUCACAAUACAAGAUGAUGGGGAUACAGGGACAGAAGAAAGGUUGGAGCUGCCAGACUAAGGCCUUUCCAGCAAAAGUUAAAAGAGCACAGGACCUGUACCCCAACGAAAG
ensembl:lncRNA